rnacentral:rRNA from 1 species
GACGAACGCUGGCGGCAUGCCUAAUACAUGCAAGUCGAGCGAACAGAUGAAGUGCUUGCACUUCUGACGUUAGCGGCGAACGGGUGAGUAACACGUAAGGAAUCUACCUAUAAGCGGGGGAUAACAUUCGGAAACGGGUGCUAAUACCGCAUAAUAUCUUCUUCCGCAUGGAAGAAGAUUGAAAGACGGCUCUGCUGUCACUUAUAGAUGACCUUGCGGUGCAUUAGUUAGUUGGUGGGGUAAUGGCCUACCAAGACGAUGAUGCAUAGCCGACCUGGAAGGGAGAUCGGACACAUUGGGACUGAGACACGGCCCAAACUCCUACGGGAGGCAGCAGUAGGGAAUCUUCCGCAAUGGGCGAAAGACUGACGGAGCAAUGCCGCGUGAGUGAAGAAGGCCUUCGGGUCGUAAAACUCUGUUAUAAGAGAAGAACAAAUUGUAGAGUAACUGCUACAGUCUUGACGGUAUCUUAUCAGAAAGCCACGGCUAACUACGUGCCAGCAGCUGCCGUAA